rnacentral:lncRNA from 1 species
UUUUCUUGUGUUUUAUUUUAUUUUUUGUUUUAUUUUGUUUAUUUUAUUCUUUAUUUUUAUUUUUCUCCUUUAUUUUUAUCUUAUAUCUUAUAUAAUAUUGUGGAUUUUGGAUUAUUAUUCGAGAAUAAACUCUACACCCGAGCUCGAGAAGAAACAUAAGCUUAAGUAAGAUGUUGUCUAAUAUUGACCAAUAGGAUGCACAUCCCAAUAGGUUUUUU